rnacentral:lncRNA from 1 species
CCGCAAGGAGGACUCCGCCCGGACUCCUACGGGAGCCGGGCUCCAUCACCAACUUCAACUGUUGGUAAGCUCCGUCCGGACUCCUACGGGAGCUGGACUUCGCACCUGACUUUAAUUGCAGGAAGACUCCGCCCGAACUCCUACGGGAGCCGGGCUCCAUCCACGACUCCAACCGCAAGGAGGACUCCGCCCGGACUCC